AGUGCUGGUAGCUGCCCAGCUCUAUGUAAUGGGCAGUCUUCAGCAGCUUCUGAGGCAUCUUAAGCAGCAUCUUGUGCUCGGCAGCUCGUCUGGUGCAAGGCAAGCUGGGGAGGCUGAGGUCAAAGGAAAGCCUGGCUGUCAUGUCUGGAAUGCACUGCUGAUGUCUCCUUUCUGCCAUCACUCCCUUUAGUCUGGAAGAAACAAGAUCAGCACUCCUUCUGGCAUACAGGACGAGAGAUAGAACAAUGAUUGGAGGAGACAUGCAGCAACUCUGCCUUCCAGUCCAACUGCUACACCCAAAAAGU